CCCUUCUUUACCCUCUCUUCCGUCUGACUCUCAGGUUCUCCGAUUCUCCGAUGGCCAUGCCAAUGCCAUGGCCUCCGAUGACCAUGGUGGGCUCCGGUAAAGUGCUCCGCCUACUGCAUCACUGUAGAAGAAGAAGCAGCUGAGGGUGCUUGUGGCGGGUGAAGGCAUCGGUGGGUUGGGUUUUGCUUUGGCUGCAAAGAGAAAGGGGUUUGAGGUUUUGGUGUUUGAGAAGGAUUUGAGUGCUUGUGAGAGGGGAAGGACAGUACAGGGGUCCAAUUCAGAUACAAAGUAAUGCUUUGGCUGCUCUGAAAGCUAUUGAUUCGGAUGUUGCUGAUGAAGUUAUGAGGCUUGGUUGCAUCACUGGUGAUAGAAUCAAUGGGCUUGUGGAUGGAGUUUCUGGUUCUUGUCAGAAAUGUGAACAUUUAUAGCACAUUGUAAAACUUAUCGGCUACUGCAUUGAAGAUGAUCAGCGACUUCUUGUUUAUGAGUUUAUGACCCGUGGAAGUCUAGAAAAUCAUCUAUUCAGAAAAAGUAGAAAGUGGAAAGAUGGAUUCAAUGCAUGUAGGCAUAAAUUGCAUGGAGAUAAUGUUGCAGCACAUGGAAUUCGUGCUUCAGGCUGUUCUGAACCGGGUUGGUGAACUUGACCAAGCAUCAAAAGUCAUGAUGGACAAGUUCACAAAAGUUAUUUCAGGAAUCAAAUCAUGCAAGGAAGACAUUGAACCUCUGAAGGGUAAAUCAAGUGCAGCAUAUACAUAUGCGAGCAACACUUUCGACACAAAAUCACCAAACACUAUUAGGAAACGGCUAAAAGGGAAACAAGUAUCUAACAACUAUGCAAUGCCAGAGCUGCCUACAACAAAUUUUGGAUCACUUACAGCUACUGCGCUAAAAUUAAUGUUAGAAAAGCAAGGCAAGAAAUCCCAUCAAGUUCUUGAAAAAGGAUGACAAUGAUACCUCUACUAAACAAAUCCUUCCUUUAAAUAAGAGAAAAUGGACAGAAGGACAACCUUACAAUGGGGAAUCAAUUUCAGAUGUUGAUGAUAGUGAUCUGAAUGAGCCACUACCCAGCUUUGGUUUUAUAUUACCACUGUCCAUUUUGUCCAACUUUAGACCGACGAGGGAGAUGAAUCUGUCACAAGAUGAAGUGAAGAUUAGCUGUAAUAUAUUUCAUCCGGAAAGGAGUGAUAUGUCCAUUACAUUCUAAAAAAUCUCAAAUAAUAUUGGAUCUUCAAUGUUUUCCCAUGAUCAUUAAGUGUAUAUGAUAUUUGCAGUGAGAUCAUGUUAAAGAUUGGGAAUCAACAGGCAACUCGAGAAGUGUUUCACUGCCUUUGUCCAGGGAAAAUGGUCACAUCCGAGAUGAUAAGGUUGCUUGCAUGGAAAGCAACCUGGUGGCAGAAUAAUUCAACCCCUGCUAAGGGAUUUUGGACCUUCCCUCCAUCAUUUGUGUGAAGUAAUCAAAGGAACACCCUUUCCGGACAUGAAACAAAGCUAUGGGCAAGAUUGGAUGCCAAACCUGAAGAACUUAGAAAUUAUUUAUAUACCAAUCCAGGAGAGCGAUGGCCAUUGGUAUCUAGCAGUUAUAUCUUUUAAAGCCAGAGUUAUAUACCACGUAGACACCCAGCUGGAUUUCAAGUGUACGGAGGAUAAACAGAAGACUAUAGGCUUAGCGUGUGAGGUGUUAACUCAGAUGGUUGCAACCCUCCUUGAAUUAGACCAACAAAUCAAAACUAACACGGUAGGGCUAUGUGAAUGGCAAAUUGAAUAUGCUAGAGGCAUACCAAAUUUGAGAUCCAGUCUAAAUUCGGCUGUGUGGAUCAUGAAAUGGAUUUCGAAGGAACAACGCUUCAAACCUAUACUGUCUGGUGAUGUAGUUCAGAUGGAUGUCGCCACAAGAUUGAUCAUUGGAGAUCAUAACAAGUGCCUGCCCCAUAUACAAGAGGAGGCACAUAGCUUCUGGAAAAAACUGACCUGAAACUGAUCAUUCUGAAGUAGCAUCACAAAAGGAUUAUUCUUUUUGGUUCCACGAAGUGACUUGCAUUUUCAUCAAUUUAAGACAAUGUGAUGGUAAUUUUUUUUGGCUAUGUGAUGGUCAGCCAUGACAUCAUUGUAAGGCUGUUUGCAAUUGUGAUGAAAAACCCUCACUGAGGUACUAUUUGACAAUGCCUCACAAUCAAAGAAAAUGAGAUGGUAUAUCUGGUAUAUUUGUGAUGGAAAUACCCUCACAAAUGUAGCAUUUGGCAUAUAGUUGCAAAUCAUAUUUUGGUGUUAUGUUAUUGCCAAACAAUGAGGUAGGUGUUAUGUUAUUGCCAAAUUCUGUGGAAUGAAAUCUGAUAUCAGAAAAUUUGUGGAAGAAUGUGACAUUUGCCAAAGGAGGGCUACCUAGGGUCAAGGGUAAGGACACCAUUUUGGUGGUGGUGGAUAGGUUGUCCAAGUUUCCUCAUUUUUAUGCCUUAGACCACCCAUUUUCAGCUAAGGAUGUGGCUUUAGUAUUCAUCAAGGAAGUGGUAAAACUCCAUGGUUUUCCUACAACCAUUGUUUUUUAUAGAGACCCACUUUUCCUUAGCCAAUUCUGGAAGGAGAUGUUUAGGCUGGCUGGAGCUCAACUGAAGUUAAGCACUUCUUAUCAUCCACAAACAGAUGGACAAACAAAGGUUGUUAACAGGUGUUUGGAGACCUACCUCAGAUGCUUUGUUGGUCCUAAGCCUAAACAAUGGUUAUAAUGGCUUUCUUGGGCUGAGUUUUGGUUUAACACCAACUACAAUAGUUCUGCAUGGAUGUCACCUUUCAAGACUUUGUAUGGAAGAGACCCCCCUUAUUCUGUUGAAGGUUGGAGCUAUUCCCUCAAGGGUGGAGGAAGUUAAUCAGAUGUUUCUCCAUCGAGAUGCAGUGCUGGAAGAGUUAAAAGUGAAUCUGGCCAAAGCUCAUAACCGGAUGAAAGUCCAAGCAGAUUCACCCUAGUUUCCAUUGUUCUUCCCCUUUUCCCAAUUUCCCUGAAAUUCCCCAAUUCCCUGGUUCAAUUCUCAAAUUGAUUUCCAGGUUGUAACCUCAGUUUCAGUUCAAUAAUAUUCAUCAGAUUUACCAGUGUUAUCA